rnacentral:misc_RNA from 1 species
AAAAAAUAGAUUGCCUUUUUUUUUUUGAUAUUUCAAAUAUUUCAAAAAAUUCUAUUACACUUUUUUCGGAUGGUAUUUUUGAAAAAGUAACUCCAUUAAUUGAUUUAGAACAUUUGUUCCUCGACAGUAUCUAUCGAUACUUUCAAAUCAAAGUUAUAAGAGGAAUUACUCGAUUUCUUUUUCCUAGAUGGCAUAAUAUAUAUUAUAUAUAUUUCUGUCGAUCCCAUAUCAUAUCCAUUUUUCUAUACUAAUAGAACCUUACUCUAUUUAUUUUAGUAUCUCAUCAAAGUUGAAAUUUUUUUAGAAGUUCAUCGAAGAAGUUCUAUUUGCUCAAAAAAUUUCCUUUUCUUUUUUUUUUUGUUUGUCCACUACUUAAAAUUUUUUUUAUACGUAAUAAAUCGAAUUUAUACGUAUAAAAUUGAAAAGGAAGUUAUGAUAAACCUAGAAAAAAAAAAUAUAAACUAAGAAUAGUAUUGAGGAAUGGGAUCAAGAAUCAUUAUUAUUUUAUUUUUAUUUUGACACAAGAAAGGGAUGUGGAAAAUUCCUUUUCUUGUGUCGAAGACUAGGAAGACGAAUAAAAUAAAUACCUCCUAGAAUCCUUUGUUCCCCUUUAAUUUAGCCUUUGCUUUUCCGCUUACUUAUUUUAUGCUUAGUAUCUAGUCAAAUUGGAUUCUAUUAGAAUAGAAAAGCUAUUGAUCCACUCUAUGACAGUUAAAUCUGACAAUAGUAAAAAAAUCACACCGCUCCCAUUUUUUUAGAUUAAAAAAAAACACAAAAGAAAAGAGAGGAUAAAAUCAAAUAGUCUUCUUACCAAUAUACAGAUUAUAACUAGAAAUGCGGUACAAGUAAUUCUCAAAAUCUGGUAUAAAAAAAAUAUAAAAAAAAGCAAAGAGCUUUUCACAAUUUUUUUUGAUCAUACAUAAUUACCAACAAAAUUUUUGUUCUUUUUAAGAACUUCAUGUUGAUGAAUUUACAGAUCUAGAAAUUCAUUUCGGACAAUUGAACCUUCUCAAACUGUUUCUUUUUAAGAACCAAAAAGAUUUGUGCCAAAAUAACGGAUGCCAAGAAGAACAAAAGGCCUUGGACACGUAAUGGGUCUUGAAGUACUAUUUCUGCAUCCCCCUGACCAAAUCCACCCACAUUAGGAUUACUCGUUAAUGGUUGAUCAAGUUUGAUGGAUUCGCCUUCUGAAACAAGAAGUUCUGGUCCUGGAGGUAUAAUAUCAAUCACUUGACGUCCCUCUGACGCAUUCGUUAUGGUUAUUUCGUACCCCCCUUUUUCUUUUCGUAUGAUUUUGCUUACUAUACCUGCUGCUAUAGCAUUAUAAACCGUAUUGUUGCUCUUGCUCCCGUCGGGAUAAAUCUGACCCCUUCCCCUGUUUCCGCCUACAUAUAUGGGAUAUUUUAAAAAGUGAACAUCUUUCUUAGCGGCGGGGUCCGGAGAAAGAAUAGGAAAGGUAAUUUCACUAUAUUUCUGACCAGGAACAGGACCUAUCACAAGAAUAUUUUUUUUAGUGGGGCGAUAACUCUGAAAAGACAGAUUUCCCAUCUUUUCUUUCAUCUCUGGCGAAAUACGAUCGGGAGGGGCUAAUUCAAACCCCUCAGGUAAAAUAAGAACAGCCCCCACAUUCAAAGCCCCCUUUUUACCAUUAGCAAGAACUUGUUUCAGUUGCAUAUUAUAAGGAAUUCGAACAACUGCUUCAAAUACAGUAUCUGGAAGUACCGCUUGUGGAACCUCAAUAUCCACGGGUUUAUUAGCUAAAUGACAAUUGGCACAUACAAUACGACCAGUUGCUUCCCGUGGAUUUUCAUAACCCUGCUGUGCAAAAAUGGGAUAUGCAUUUGAAAUGGAUGCCCAAGUUAUUAUAUAUAUCAUGAGCGAUACGGAAAUGGAACGAGUAAUCUCUUCCUUUAUCCAAGAAAAGGUCUUUCUGGUUUGCAUGGUCCAAUCAUUGAUCCUGAAAAUUUCUACAAUAAAAUUAGGUAGGUCGCUAGUAUAGUUCCCUAUCCACGAUACUGCUAUUUACUGAAAUAUUUUUACUAAAAUAGAAAAUAUAGGAAGAGAAUCCCUUGGAUGUAUAGAAAAAAGAAAUAUGUAUAUAUAAAGAAAGAUUUUGAAUGUUUUACUUAUGUACAAAAUAACAAAGAUUCUAAUUGGAUUCAUGGAUCAUUUUUCAGUCAUUCAUUGAAUGAUAAAUCACUACAAGUGACGGAGAUACACGAUUUAAAUAACGGAAAAUCCAAUAUUUAAAAAUGGUAUCGAGAAUGACUGGAAAAGUGGAAACAAGGCCAGAUAUAAUUUGAUCGUUAUGAGCAAAUCCAAAAUCUUUGUAGACGGAGCCGAUCAUUAGUUCCCAACCGUGAGGUGAAUGGAAUCCUAUACAUAAAUCGGUUAAUAAAAGAAUGGAAAAAGCUUUUAUUGUGUCGCUUAAAUUAUAUAGGAAUUCUUGAACCCAAGAAUUAAGAAUAAUAAGUUUUUCAUUACUUAGAAUAGAAUAACCCCUUAGAAUAACGAAAGAGAUUAUAUUUGUCGAGAAGUGAAAAAUCGUAUGGAUACGAUCCUCAUUGUGCAUCUUGAUCAAUUGGAUCGUUUCUUUGUGGAUUCCGAUACGAAACUUUUGUAGAUGUGUUUCCGGGUAUUCCUUUAUCAUUUCGUCUAAGCGAACGAGUUCCUCUAAUUCUAUGAAUUUUUCUAGAAUACUUUUUUCUUGGAUAUCAUUUAAAAAAGUUUCGGAUUUACUAAUAUUACACCAAUUAAUAACCCAAGAUUCAAAACUUUUAUUAAAUAAAAAAGAGAUCCACCAGGGCAAAAAAACUAUAGAUGUAAGAUAUAGAAGGGGAAUAAAUGUUUUUUUUUCCAUUUUUUCGUCUGUGAAUUUUUAAGGAACUCACCUCAUUUAUUGAUUCUAUAUGAUCUAAUAUUUCUAUCAAGCAUAAGUUCUAUUACAAGGCUUCGAACUUAUGAAUCUAUUCCCUGUUUUUUAUUUGUGAGUCAGUGUUUAGUCCUUGAAUUUUGAAAGAAUACAAAAAAAAUAUAGCCUAAAAAGAGUACACAAAUGAAGAAAAAAAAUAUUGUUUCUAGAUAUCUCAUCAAAUUCGAAGCAAUUCCCUCUUUUCGAUGAAUGUCCUAAAGAGCCGCCUCAAAUUCGGAUUUCAAGAUGAAAGAAUUCCGUUCUAUCAACAAAACAAAUAUUUCGAAAAAAAAAAUGGCCAACUUGCCCAUAUUCCACAGGAAUAAUUGAGAAAGGUUUCGGAAGAAUAUUGUGAUGUGAUAAUCAAAAAUGAGUGGCAAAAGCAAAAUAAGACAGAAAAGUUAUCAUUCUAAGUGGUCCAGCCCUUUGUUCAUUUUCAUUAAGGAGGACAAAAAAAAGAUAAAAAGAAACGUCGAUUGACAAAAGAAAGGAGAGAUAAUUUACAAGAUAUGAUCUAUCCAUAUCUAAAUCUAACGCAUCAAUUUCAAAUAUUGAAAAUAAAAAGAGAAUUUCUUUAUUCUAUAUUUUAUUUUAUUCCGAAAUUCCAAAACGCUUUGUUUUGCUCUAUGAGAUGGGUCUAUUUUUUCGAUUUCUUACUUGUUUUGUUACUGAAUUUAGUGAAUUUACAUAUGCAUAAAAAAUUUUGCAGAUAAAAAAGUUUUAUUUUCUAAUUGUUCCAUAUAUGUAUAAUAUACGCCUUCUUUGGUUCAUCAAUAUUGUAAAGAAAUUUCAGUUAAAUUAUGCUAUAGAAAAAAAAGAGGACUUUUGGAUUUUUUCGCUCCUGCUAAGAAAAUGUUCAUUCUUCAGCUCAUUUCAAAAUACUUCAAUUGGUACACGCAAAAAAUAGGCCAAUUCCGCUACUUUUUGCUCAAUUUCUCGUGGAGUCAAAUUCUCAUCAGUACGAGUCAAAGGAAUAGCCCCCCGGCCUCUGAUUUCCAUAUAAAGGACACGCCGAGCAUAAAUACCCUCUUUAACUUCUAUUCUAAUAGACUGAAUAUCUUUCAUAAGGAAUCGUAGUAAGAUGCGACGAUUUUUUCCCGGAAAUCCCCAGCGAAAAAUACACACUAUUCCUUCUUUUCUAUCGAAUCGAUCAUAACCACUACCUACAUUCCACAAAAUUGUGCACCACAAAUAAGAACUAAUAAAUAGACCGGCGAUCCCAUAGAAAGACAUCACGAUCCCUUGUGGGAAAAAAAUUAUUUGCUGAGACAGAAAUAAAGAUAUCAAAUUUCUGCCAAGAUAGCUGGAAAUUCCAACCAAUAAAAAUCCCAAUGAACCUAAAAAAAGUAUAAAGGCCCAGCAGAAAUUACUUGUUUUUCGAGACCCCGCUAUAAGUUCUAUCCAUAUACGUUCUGAUCGCCAACUCAUACUAGAUCCGGUUGCUUUUUAUUUGAAGUGGGAGACUAGCCCAAAUGAAUUUGACUUUCUUUUUUUUUCCGAAGUAACUUUCCUCAACUCGCACUAUUCUGAUGUGAAUCUUUAGGAGGAAUUCAUCGAAUUCGUUAGAUUUAAAAUAAAGGGGAGCUCCCUCAUAUGAUCCUCUAUCUACGCAUAUAUAAAAAAUAUAUAAAAACAUUGGCUUUGCAUUUAUUUCAGGCAUCCGCCGCAGUCUCAA